rnacentral:rRNA from 1 species
AGAGUUUGAUCCUGGCUCAGGAUGAACGCUAGCGGCAGGCUUAAUACAUGCAAGUCGAACGGUAAGGUCUCUUCGGAGAUACACGAGUGGCGCACGGGUGCGUAACGCGUAUGCAACCUACCUUUAACUGGGAAAUAGCCCCGAGAAAUCGGGAUUAAUGUCCCAUACUAUUCCGAGAAUGCAUAUUCUUGGAAUGAAAGCUCCGGCGGUUAUUGAYGGGCAUGCGUGACAUUAGCUAGUUGGUGAGGUAACGGCUCACCAAGGCUACGAUGUCUAGGGGUCCUGAGAGGGUUAACCCCCACACUGGUACUGAGACACGGACCAGACUCCUACGGGAGGCAGCAGUAAGGAAUAUUGGGCAAUGGACGCAAGUCUGACCCAGCCAUGCCGCGUGAAGGAUGAAUGUCCUAUGGAUUGUAAACUUCUUUUAUGCAGGAAAAAUAUCCCGGUCGUGAACCGGGACUGAUGGUACUGUAUGAAUAAGCAUCGGCUAACUCCGUGCCAGCAGCCGCGGUAAUACGGAGGAUGCAAGCGUUAUCCGGAUUCAUUGGGUUUAAAGGGUGCGCAGGCGGAAUUAUAAGUCAGUGGUGAAAUCUCCCGGCUCAACCGGGAAACUGCCAUUGAUACUGUUAUUCUUGAGUAUAGUUGAAGUGGGCGGAAUGUGUCAUGUAGCGGUGAAAUGCUUAGAUAUGACACAGAACACCGAUAGCGAAGGCAGCUCACUAAGCUAUAACUGACGCUCAUGCACGAAAGCGUGGGGAUCAAACAGGAUUAGAUACCCUGGUAGUCC